rnacentral:rRNA from 1 species
GACGUAGGGCGCGAGCGUUGUCCGGAUUUAUUGGGCGUAAAGAGCUCGUAGGCGGCUUGUCGCGUCGUCCGUGAAAACCUGCAGCUCAACUGCAGGCUUGCGGUCGAUACGGGCAGGCUGGAGUUCGGUAGGGGAGACUGGAAUUCCUGGUGUAGCGGUGAAAUGCGUAGAUAUCUGGAGGAACACCGGUGGCGAAGGCGGCAUUCUGGACCGAAACUGACGCUGAGGCGCGAAAGCCAGGGGAGCAAACGGG